UACAGAGGGAGGCGAGCGUUGUUCGGAAUUACUGGGCGUAAAGGGCGCGUAGGCGGCCCGCUAAGUCGAACGUGAAAUCCCCAGGCUCAACCUGGGAACUGCGUCCGAUACUGGCAGGCUUGAAUCCGGGAGAGGGAUGUGGAAUUCCAGGUGUAGCGGUGAAAUGCGUAGAUAUCCGGAGGAACACCAGUGGCGAAAGCGGCCACCUGGACUGCACCUGACGCUGACACGCGAAAGCUAGGGGAGCGAACGGG
rnacentral:rRNA from 1 species